rnacentral:rRNA from 1 species
AUAGCGUAUACUAAAGUUGUUGCAGUUAAAAAGCUCGUAGUUGAAUUUCUGGUCUCGGACAUCGGUCUGCCUCGAACGAGGUACGCACCAGUUGUCUGAAUCCAUCCUCGGGGAAAACGUAUCUGUCAUUCAGUUGAUGGGUACGGGAUCCUCGUCAUUUACUGUGAGCAAAAUAGAGUGUUCAAAGCAGGCUUAUGCCGUUGAAUACAUUAGCAUGGAAUAAUAAGAUAGGACCUUGGUCUAUUUUGUUGGUUUGUACUCCAAGGUAAUGAUUAAUAGGGAUAGUUGGGGGUAUUCGUAUUCAAUUGUCAGAGGUGAAAUUCUUGGAUUUAUGGAAGACGAACUACUG